CAGUCGCCGCGGGAAUACGAAGGGGGCUAGCGUUGCUCGGAAUGACUGGGCGUAAAGGGCGCGUAGGCGGCGAUCAAAGUCAGGCGUGAAAUUCCUGGGCUCAACCUGGGGGCUGCGUUUGAUACUUGAUUGCUAGAGUGGGGAAGAGGGUCGUGGAAUUCCCAGUGUAGAGGUGAAAUUCGUAGAUAUUGGGAAGAACACCGGUGGCGAAGGCGGCGACCUGGUCCUUGACUGACGCUGAGGCGCGAAAGCGUGGGGAGCAAACAGGAUUAGAUACCCCCGUAGUCCCUGUCUCUUAUAC
rnacentral:rRNA from 1 species